GGGAGGCACAAGCACUCGCACCAAGGAGGGCUAAGCGGCGGAGGGAGGCAAGGAGGGAGGAGGGCGCGCCUCGGCUCGCCUGGCAGCGCCGCGCGGGCAGCGUGUGGGACCACGUGAGCCCCAAAGCUUCGAUGGAAUGUCUGAAGCAACUCUCAGUUUUCAAAGCAUCAUUAUAUGGCAAAACUGCACAGAUGGAUCACCAUGUGACUGUUCUGAAGCUGGCUUUGUUACAGCCCACAUGGAAGCUGAACAGACAAGACAUUGUGUUACGACUCAUCAUAGCUAGUAAAAAAACCCACGAAGCAAGGAAAACUAAUGUUUGAGACACAUUAAGCAAUGGUUCUCCAUUAAGAAGGCUCUGAAGGGCUUCACCACAGUCAACAGUUCUGCUGGGAAGCAGCUGGCCUUUGUCCUAGGGAAGAAACCGCCCCCCCCCGCAACACCCUCACGUGCCCCCCCAUCAAUAACACAGUUGCCAGGCAUGUCAGCUGGAACUGAAGCAUUUGGCUCCAAUGAAAC